rnacentral:rRNA from 1 species
UCUGGAGUAAAAGGNUAUGGCUCAACCAUAGUGUGCUCUGGAAACUNUCUGACUUGAGUGCAGAAGGGGAGAGUGGANUUCCAUGUGUAGCGGUGAAAUGCGUAGAUAUAUGGAGGANCACCAGUGGCGAAAGCGGCUCUCUGGUCUGUCACUGACGCUGAGGCUNGAAAGCGUGGGUAGCGAACAGGAUUAGAUACCCUGGUAGUNCACGCCGUAAACGAUGAGUGCUAGGUGUUAGGCCCUUUCCGGGGCUUAGUGCCGGAGCUAACGCAAUAAGCACUCCGCCUGGGGAGUACGACCGCAAGGUUGAAACUCAAAGGAAUUGACGGGGGCCCGCACAAGCGGUGGAGCAUGUGGUUUAAUUCGAAGCAACGCGAAGAACCUUACCAGGUCUUGACAUCCCGAUGCUAUUCUUAGAGAUAGGAAGUUACUUCGGUACAUCGGAGACAGGUGGUGCAUGGUUGUCGUCAGCUCGUGUCGUGAGAUGUUGGGUUAAGUCCCGCAACGAGCGCAACCCUUAUUGUUAGUUGCCAUCAUUAAGUUGGGCACUCUAGCGAGACUGCCGGUAAUAAACCGGAGGAAGGUGGGGAUGACGUCAAAUCAUCAUGCCCCUUAUGACCUGGGCUACACACGUGCUACAAUGGUCGGUACAACGAGUUGCGAGCCGGUGACGGCAAGCUAAUCUCUGAAAGCCGAUCUCAGUUCGGAUUGGAGGCUGCAACUCGCCUCCAUGAAGUCGGAAUCGCUAGUAAUCGCGGAUCAGCACGCCGCGGUGAAUACGUUCCCGGGCCUUGUACACACCGCUCGUCACACCACGAGAGUUUGUAACACCCGAAGUCGGUGAGGUANCCUUUUAGGG